UGGGGAAUUUUGCGCAAUGGGCGAAAGCCUGACGCAGUAACGCCGCGUGGAGGAUGAAGGCCUUCGGGUUGUAAACUCCUGUCAGGGGGAACGACGGGGAGAGGGUGACAAAUCCUUUCCUCCAGACGGUACCUCCAAAGGAAGCCCCGGCUAAUUCCGUGCCAGCAGCCGCGGUAAUACGGAAGGGGCAAGCGUUGUUCGGAAUCAUUGGGCGUAAAGGGCGCGUAGGUGGUUCUGUAUGUCUACCGUGAAAGCAUACGGCUCAACUGUAUUUUGUCGGUAGAAACUGCAGGACUUGAGGCUGGGAGGGGCUGGUGGAAUUCCCUGUGUAGCGGUGAAAUGCGUAGAGAUGGGGGAGAACACUCGUGGCGAAGGCGGCCAGCUAGACCAGUUCUGACACUGAGGCGCGACAGCGUGGGGAGCAAACA
rnacentral:rRNA from 1 species